CCCGGGACACCAUGUCGGACUCUGAGGAGGAGAGCCAGGACCGGCAACUGAAAAUCGUCGUGCUGGGGUUCGGCACCUCCGGGAAGACCUCCUUAGCUACGAGUUUUGCUCAAGAAACUUUUGGGAAACAGUACAAACAAACUAUAGGACUGGAUUUCUUUUUGAGAAGGAUAACAAUGCCAGGAAACCUGAAUGUUACUCUUCAAGUUUGGGAUAUAGGAGGACAGACAAUUGGAGGCAAAAUGUUGGAUAAAUAUAUCUAUGGAGCACAGGGAGUCCUUUUGGUAUAUGAUAUUACAAAUCAUCAAAGCUUUGAGAAUCUAGAAGAUUGGUAUACUGUGGUGAAGAAAGUGAGUGAGGAGUCGGAAACUCAGCCACUGAUUGCCUUAGUUGGAAAUAAAAUUGAUUUGGAGCACAUACGAACAGUAAAACCUGAAAAACACGGUUUUGCCAGGAAAAUGGUUUCAGUAGUCACUUUGUCUCCGCCAAGACAGGAGACUGUCUUCCUGUGUUUCCAGAAAGUCGCUGCUGAAAUCCUUGGAAUCAAAUUAAACAAAGCAGAAAUAGAACAGUCACAGAGGGUGGUGAAGGCAGAUAUUGUAAACUACAACCAGGAACCUCUGUCGGGAACUGUCAACCCUCCUAGAAGCUCUAUGUGUGCUGUUGAGUGAGUGUGCUCUCCUCUGGGUCGG